rnacentral:lncRNA from 1 species
CUCGUUUCUCGUUUUUUAUGUAGAUUAGACCAUUGGUUUUCCCGUUUGAAUAGUUUUACUCUAGUCAUUUGUUGACCCUUUAUAGCUUGCUGUUCGGUGUAUGUUAAGACUCCGUGUUGAAUAUCGUUAAUUAUUGGUGAGUUAUCUCAUUGGCAUUCAUACCACAUACAUUAUAUCUAUUUCAAUGCAAAGGCAUGCAAAAUGAAAAUAACACUAUAUGACAUUAUGCGUCAUAAUCGUAUCUCUAGACCCACUACAUCAAAGAGCACCCAAA